GUUCAUUUACUAUUCAUAAGAUAACUUAUUUUGUAAAUUAUUGCUUAGUAAAUACUAUAACAAGUUGCAAGUAUUUUAUUGGAAUUUUAAGGCUAAAAUGCCAUAAAGUUUUACAUUUCAUAUUCAGAGUUGGUAUUUGGGUGGCUUCAGAACAGAAUCCAGUUGACAAAAUGUCUUCUGGAAUAGGACCGUGGUUCCAUUUUGUCGGUUUUUGGAAACAGGGCCACGAUUAAGAAGGAUGGCCAGAGGCCAUUGUAUUGUAUUGUGCUGCUAGAGGUGAAAUUCUUGGACUGGCAAAAGACAGCCUAGAGUGAAAGCAUUUGCCAACAAUGGUUACAUUAAUCAAGAACAACAGUCAGAAGUUUGAAGAUGAUCAGAUACCAUCUCAGUUCUGACCAUAAACUAUGCUGACUGGCCAUACAUUUUGGGGGGGAGCCUCUGUGGUGCAAUCCGUUAGCAUGUUUGGCUGGUAACCCAAAAGGUUUGUGGU
rnacentral:ncRNA from 1 species